rnacentral:lncRNA from 1 species
UCCUGGAUAAGAAAUGAGUUAUUAUAGCCUCCUAAAUUUUAUAUAAUUGUGUUAUAAUAACUUGUAUUUGUGGUGUAAAUUACUUUCGUUUAAAUAUUAUUUACUGUAGCAAGAGAUAUGUAGUUAUUAUAAUCUCGUCGUUUUCGUUUGCUGAUAUUGAUGUUUUUGUGUGAAAGCAGUUAUUUCUUAAGUUCAGUGGUGAAUAUGUUUGGAAAAGUUAUGGGCCCAAAGUACGAUGGCAAAUACUUGAGAUCAUUGAUAAACAGAUUGCUUGGAGAUAUAACACUUAAGGAAACACUAACGCAAGUCAUUAUUCCUGCUUUUGACAUUAAGCUUCUUCAACCUGUGAUUUUCAGCACACUCGAUGUAUGAAAAUUUAAUUAAAAACGAUUUGAUAAACAGUUUAUAUUCCUUUAAUUUUUUUCAAUAAUAAAUAAAUUGGAGGAAUUAAUUAUUCAGGCAAAAUGGGAUGCGUUAAAGAAUCCAAAACUGGCUGAUGUUUGUAUCAGUACCUCCGCCGCUCCCACUUUCUUACCUGGCCAUGAAUUUCAAACUAAGGACUCUAAGGGAAAUACUCGUAACUUCGAUAUGGUUGAUGGUGGAGUUGCUGCAAAUAAUCCAGUAAGAUCGACCUUCCUUCCCCAUAUUAGAUAAUUAGUUAAAUUUGUCUCUUUACUCAUAAAGCUUAAUUUGUUAAAUUUGUCUUUUUACUCAUAAAGCUUAAGCUUCUGGAUUGAGUUAUUUGUGAUUUAAGACUCGUUUUGGUGGAUGUAUAACUAAUAAUAUAUAUAUGUGUGUGUGAUGGUUGAUUGUUUAGACAUUGGCUGCAUUGACUCAUGUGACAAAAGAGAUGAGCAUCUUGAGAAAAAGAAGUGAACUUCUGAAAAUAAAACCAAUGGAAUCAAAAAGGAUGUUGAUCCUUUCUUUGGGAACUGGUGUGGCUAAAAAUGAUGAGAAGUAUAGUGCAGCUAUGGCUUCCAAAUGGGGUAUGCUUGGUUGGAUCUAUCAUAGAGGAGCAACACCAAUUGUUGAUAUUUUUAGUGAUGCAAGUGCAGAUAUGGUGGAUUAUCAUAUUUCUAGCGUCUUCCAAUCUGAACAUAAUGAUAGAAAUUAUCUUCGUAUUCAGGUAUACAAUAAUUUUAAAUUAUGAUCUUCGUUAAUUAUAACUAAAUCAAAUCAGCAUGUUUUUGAUAAGGAUAUUGUGUGAUAUCUGGAAACAGGAUGACACAUUGAGUGGUGAUGUUUCGUCCGUGGAUAUUGCAACCCAACAAAACUUAUUAAAGCUCAUUGAGGUUGGAGAGAGUUUACUGAAGAAACCAUUAUCAAGGGUAAAUUUGGAAUCUGGAAAGUUUGAGGCACUUGAUGGAGAAGGAACUAAUGAAAAAGCACUUGCAGAAUUUGCUCAAAUGUUGUCUGAUGAGAGGAAACUACGAUUGAGCCCUUGAGGCUAUCUAAUUCCCAUUUCAUCAAUUUAUGCUUCUUUCAUGUUUUCAUCUUCAACCCCCCUUUUUUUUCUGUCUUCCAUAGAUACGUCACUUCUUUUAAGCCUUUCAUACUUUAGUCCAGUAAAUUGUAAAAAUACUUGUAAUAAUUUUUUUACACCCUGUUGUUGUUUUAUUUUUCUCUUUUGUAUUUCACCCUUUCUAGUUUUAAUCGAUUCUAUAUAUUGUUGGCGUGGUUUCCUAGAAACUUUCGUAGAAUGUACAUAAAUGUGGACAAAAUAAGUAAAGGACAAGUGAAUAUGAAUUUCUGUUGAGUUCUAGACCUAGUUUGGUACACAGAGCCCUGCCAAUCCAGCUAGAUGGAUAACAACACUCUGUUGUGGGCAAAAAUGUUUUAAUUUUAACAAUUUAAAACACUUUUUACACAAGUCCACACAUAAAGGUUUUAAUAUACAACGCUUAGUUGUAAAUCACUUUUUAGUUUCUUUUUUCAAAUUAUUUAAUGUCGGUUUAAAACCAAUAUUAAUGGCCUUUUGUGUUGGUUGACAACCGACAUUUAUGCUAGCGUUAUUAAAGGUCUUUAAUGUCGUUUCUAGUUUGAUGUCAGUUUAAAACGACAUUAAAGGCCUCAUUAAUGUCGGUUUAAUAGAACAAUUUUGAAAAAGAAAAAAAAGGUCACAUGUCCAUAGGCCACAAUGUGAAAUAUAAAAAAUAUCUCAAUCAACACACAAUUAAUUGGUUACAUGAACACGAGUAAUCUUCUUCUAGACGAUCGUGUAGUUAAUUUUAAACAAUGGAAAAAUAGUCUUCAAAUUUAAAUGAUUAGACGAUAAACUAUAAAUGAUGGCGAGACAAUUUCAUACAUAAACGAUCACAAAAGAAGAAGAAUAAGAAGUAAAGAAGUGCACAACUCGUCCCACAAUAUUAAUAUUCAAAACCAACAACGAUACAUGAAAUUUAUAAAAAAUAAUUGUACAUAAUGAGUUUUUCUUAUUUUGUUAUACGAACCAUAAAUAUUUAGGGUUUUGUUACAUUUAUCUAAACUAUCAUUAUACUUAAUUUUAAUUUUCAAUAAUUAAAGAGCUAUUUUAAAUAAUAAUAAUGUAUUAAAACUAUUUGCAAAAUUUAUGGAACUAUAUGUUCUAUAAAUAUAAUUUUAUUUUUAUGGCUCUCUAUAACAAUUUUUCAAACUAAAAGUUCACCUGAUGGAGCAUAAAAAAAUUUAAUCUAUUUAUAGAAUAUUGCAAAAUCAAUCAAAUUCUAUACAACACAUUAAAAUUUGACGAUUCGUUUUUAAAUAUUUAUUUUUACUUUAUUUUAUAAAUAUUUUCAAUUUUUUAAUUCAUUUCUCCAAAGAGAAUCUAAAAUUAUAUAUUAUUAAAUGACUUCCCUCUUCCCUUGGUUGAAGGAAAAUAUGAAACAUAUCUAUUAAAUGUGUGAGUUUGAGUUAUAUUAUUGAAUCUGGGAUUGCCUAAGAUCAAUCAAAUUUGUGUAAUAAAUCUCUCACUAAUCGAGGAGGCAAUAAAGGAACACAUAAUAGAAUUAGUGAAAAAUAUACCUUUAAAGAUUACAAAGCUUCAAUAUUACAUUAACUAUACCUUUAAAGAAACAACCGAACAAGAAAAGAGAAAUAAUAGAAUUAGUGAACUACAUUUAUAAAAGCAAAUUUUUAAUAUAAGUUUAUUAUUGAUCAUUUUAAAAUUUUAGUAUAUUUUUAUAAAUAUUGAGAUUUUUGUCCUUUUUUUUAAAAUUCUUUUUAUAUGGAAAUAUGUUGUUGGGAUUCAAAUAUUUGAAACCUAUAUUUUAGGAAUGUAGAUUUGUAUUUGUUAAUGAAUAAUUUGGAGAAGAUACAUUCGUAAAAAUAAAUAUACAUCUACAAGUGUGUGUAUAUACAUAGUUGCGAUUAGUGGUUGACGAUGAUAGGUUUCGAUUCAAUCCUAUUGAAGGUAUGGUUGUUGUCUUUCAGUAUAUGAAUUUACAUUAAAGAUAGUUGACAUAUGUGAUGAAAAGUGAGUGAUAAAAAAUAUGAAUGAAGAUCACUUAAUUGAAAGAACUAUUUCAGGGAGAGCUUGAACUUAUCUUUCAAGAGAUCCAUGAUUAUUUUCAGGUGAGCUUGAGUUUAUUUUUAAGUUAUGGUGAUAAUUUAUUAAAGUAGCUUUAGUGUUAAGUUACAAACUUUUGAAUCUCAAUAAUGUUUCUUAUCCGAGGCAAAUGAACUCCCAAACGUAGGUUGUAUUUGUCGAAUUGAGUUACCAAAGUCUUCUGCGUAAUUUGUCACUUUUGUGCUUUAACUAUUUCUGUAGUUAAUUGCUUUAGAUAUAGCUAAAUGUAAAGUUAUCUUACUUCUUUAAUAAAUAUUUUCAUAAUUUGUUAUUUCACAUAAUUAUAGAAACAACAAAAACACAAUAAAUUUGUUUUAAGAAAAAGGUUAAUAUAUAUAUAUAUAUAUAUAUUAUAUAUAUAAUAUAUAUAUAUAUAUAUAUAUAUAACAAAAAUGAAAAUAUUUUAGGUUGUGUAACAAAAUAAAAUAAAGUUCAUCAACCCUCGAUAACUUGGUGAAUUUUCUUUUAUAAAUUUCAUAUUUGUUCUUUCAGAACUUCUUCAUCUUCUUUUUUGGAAUUUAUCCUUCUUCAUCAUAACUCUCAUCUUUGGCGUGAUCUUUUUCAUAAAGACAAUAUUUUUUUCUAAUUCUUUUUUUGUUAUCAACUAUUGUGUCAUUUUUUUUCUUGUUUUCUUUUACCAAACAAUUGUUUAGAUUUAAUAUAAGAUCAUGUACCAAAAUUGACUGGAUUGGGAUUUGAUAAAAGAUUGUUUUCUUAUACUAUAUGUAAUCAAUUAGUUGUAGGGUAUUUUUAUUAUUUCAUAUCGUGGGCUUAUAGACUUCUAUAUUUUCGCGUUUUGGUGUGUUUUUUAAAAAGUCACCUAAAAAUCAAAUUUAGGAGACAUUUCUUUUAGAGAUGUGAGAAAGAAAAAAAAAAUCCUCUAUCACAUGUCAUAUAUCACAAAAUUGAGAAACAAAGAAAUAAAAAAUAUUAGCAAAAUAAAUAAAAAAAACUUCUAUCACAUGUCUUAUUUUCCCCCUCGACGAUGAGAAUAAUAAUAUUGUUAAAAGAAAAAUUAAUACAAUGUAUGUUAGUUGUUGGUUUAGUUUGACUUUAUAUACUAUAUAAAUGUAUAAACAAAUUUUAAAUAUAAUGUUACUUGAUAUAAUUUUGAUGUAAUAUAAGUGUGGAAAGAUUGAGUUGAUUUAUGAAUGGUUGGUGUUAUAAUAAAAUUACUAGUUAUCAUAAUAACAACAUUUAUGAGUUUUUUCAAAAAUAAAAAAAAUUGACUUGAACAAAACCAUUAAAAAAAAUUACACUUGAUUUUUAUAUGAAUUGUAUAUAUUUUAUCAAAUAUUUUAUUUUUCACAAUUUUCUCAAAAUUUAUCGUUUCUAAACCCUUAUUACUACAUGAUCUAUCAAUGAUAGAUUUUUAUUUGUAAUAAACUUUAAAGGAAAACUUUUAAAAAUUGCAAAUUUUACAAAAUACUUAUAACUUAUAGCAAAAAUUUUAAAUUCUAUCCCUAAUGGUCACUUAAUGCUACAAUAAUAGAACUAUCAUGGAUAUAAUCUAAAAUUUUUGCAACAAUUUGUAAAUAUUUUAAUUUAGUUUGUUAUUUUUUAAAAAUGUCCCUAAUUUGAAAAUUAUAUUUGAAUAUUUUUUUUUGUAUAGUAUUAUAUUUGUGAAUAUUUUAGAUGAGAUUGUUAUACGUGGACAACUCCAUCAAAUCAAUUAAUUAAUUAUGUGAAAAUGUGAAUAAUUUUCUUCAAUGAUUGAGAAUAUUAAAUUAGAGCCAAUUUCAAACUGGCAAGUGGGAAAUAUAAUUUUGGUGAUAAAAUUAAAAAAAGAAAGAAUCACGUGAAACAUAAAAUAAAAAGAAGAGUGGAAAAUUAUCAAAGUAAUGAGGCAUAAUUUGCUAUAUUUACAUGAAAGAAGAGUGCAUAAUUUAAUCUUAAUUUUAUUUCAAACUUUGGAUUUGUCUUUUUUCCAUAUAAAAGACCCUUUGGAAACAAGAAAUCUUACACAUAAUCCAAAACUCAAAUUGCAAAAGCAUCGUAUUGUUCACUUUUUUCUCCCUCCCUCUUAGAAACUCUCUCUUCCUUUUCAAUUUAGAAACACAACAUGGCAUCUCAUGACUGUGUGAAGGGGAAGAGGAUAACAAUUUUGAGCAUCAAUAAUGGUGGUGACCUUAGAGGCAUUAUUCCUUGAACUUUUCUAGCUUUUCUCGACUCUACAUGCUAGAUAAUAACAAUAAACCUUCAAUUCAAUUUUAUGUUUAAAAAUAUAGUUCAACUAAAUGUUAGUACAUUCAACUUGAUUACAAAAUAUUAAAUGUUGAGGAUCCCAUGAUUAAGGAUGAGCAUCCGUUGGCCAUAAUCGAUUUUCUGGCCAAAAUUUCAAACCGAUAGUGAAUUGAUUAUGGUUGGUUUAGUAAAUGUUCAAACCGACUUUGAUCACAAAAGAGUAUAAAUCGUUUAGGUUGGUUUAAACCUUUGAAAUAUUUUUUAAAUUUUUGUCGAAUUGUUUAAUUAGGUUGGUUGUGUUAGCAUAAAUACUUUAAAUUUAUAUAAUAGAUUAAUGUAAGAUCACUCAUGUAUGUUGGAUAAUUUUGUCAAAAGAAAAUAAUAAAUUUCUUUUUAUUAACGUGGUUAUUUAAAAUAAAGGAUAUUACUUAAAGAUAGAGAUAUUAUUUAAAAAUAAAAAAAUUUCCUUCGUAGUAGAAAUAUUUUAUCUAUAUCUUUGCAUAAAAAAGUUAAAGAGAAGAUAUAUUAGUGAGAUCUUUAAACAACUAAGCUAUGGGCUUAGAUCUGUGUGCACAUUGAUGGAAAAUUAAUUUCAGAGAAGUUUUCUCUUGAAUUAUUAUUUGGGAAGGUAGUCAUUGCCUUCUUUAUGAAGAUGGAUUACUGAAGUUCUGCAAGUGACGUUGCACCCGUUGAUAAGAAAUAUAAAAGAAUACUAAAAUAGUUGACUACGGUCAAUGAAUUCACGGGAGCCUGAGUUUAUCUUCAAAUAGAUUCAAACACAAAUUUAGGUGGAGUCUGUCUUUGAUUAAAUUUCUGUUAUUGUCGCCACAUGCCUGAGACGAUGCGGAGCGGCUGACGUCCUCAAAAGAGUUAGAUUUUUAAACAAAUAGGAGUCGCCACAAAUUUUUUUACGAUGUGAUUGGACAUCGAAAUAAAGUAAACAAUUUUUAAAAACUGGUAUGUGGAAAAUAGAGUUGAGUUCGAGAGUCAUUUGUGUGUGGAAAAUGUAUUAGGACCCCACAACACCCAUUUAGAAAAACAGUGACCAAAUUUCAAAUCUCGAAUUGAAAAUAUAUUUUUUUUAUUUUAAAAUUAUUGUCUUAUUUUACCUCUCAUUACUCCAAUAUUGAAGCAAUGAUCUCAUAAAAUAAGUUGAAUAAUAUUUCCUUAGUUAGACUAUAUAUUGAAGGAAACAUCUCACCUUAAGAAAAUGAGAAAUCAUUACAAUUUCUCAAAGUGUAUCAUGGACUAGUCUUCGAAUAAAUAUUUUUUUAAAAUAUUGAUUAAAUUCAUUUUUUCUUGGGAUCAAAUCUCGGACUCCCAAAGAUAUUGAUCACUCACCUUAAGAAUUCUAGAAAAUCAGACUCCCAAAUUUCCUAGAUUCCAUCAUAGGAUUUUUUUUUAGCGAAUUAGAAGUGUGUUAUUAAAAAAGUUGAUUAUGAAGUAUAAAUUUAUAUUUUAAACUCUUUUUUAAAAAAUUAAAUAGGAUAAUUUUAAAGUAAAAAUUUCUUAACGGCUAAAAAAGAAAAUUUAAGAAAGGCUUCAAAAUUAGGUCAAUAGAAAAUAAUGAGCAAAGAAAUCAAAUAUAUUAUACAACGAAUUAAGAAGUAACAGAAGAUUUUAUUUUUUUAAAAAUACUGAAAAUCGAAUCUUGAACUCCUAAAGAAACGAUUCUCUCACCUCAAAAAUUUAGAAAUAACGGACUCUCAUAUAUUUUUAAUUUCAUCGUCGAUUUUUUUUAGAAUGGUAGAAUAUAAAGAUAAAUAUGAUGUAAGAAAAAAAACAAUUAAUUGAUAUAAAAUACCGUGGUAAUAUUGCAAAGUGUAAACGAAAUAUUCAUAAAUUUAAUAUUACAUGAUAAUAAUUAUUAUACAUGCAACAAAAAUAAGUUAAAAUAAAUAAGAAAAAAAAAUAAAAACCAUAAACAACAAAAAAAUAAAAAAAGGAAAGAAGAAAGAAAGGAAAGAAAGAAGGAAUAAAAGGAAAUGGUUGUAAAACGAGCAAAUAUGCUUAAUUAGUUUUGAAAAAAAAAAGGUCACAUCUCGAUAAUCAUUUUAUUUAUUUUUUACAAUUAAAUCUAUGUUCUCAUAUUUUCUUACCGUGGUAUUACAUUUUUGUUCAGCGUAAGAGUUGGGUUGAUUUUUUAAAGUAUGAGUAAAAGUAGACAAAGCAUGGAAUUUAAAGAUGAUAGAUAUGUUUGUAAACUUAACUUUUAAAAUCUUAAAUAAAAAACAUAAAACAAAAUUUUAUCAAAUAACUUACUAAAAAAAUUCAAAUGAUUAUCGGACGAUACCUUAACUUUUUCAAUGUCAACUUCCAUAAAAUUUUUGGACAUGCACCACACGUAUCUAACUAGAGUAGAAACUUUUUAUUUGAAAAGUAACUUAUGGAGCUAUUCCCUUUAACACAAAACUAAAAUAUGUAUGUAUUUAUAAAAUAAAUAAAGCUAACAUAUCAACCCAUUAAGCAAUUUUAAUGAACAAAGAAAAUGGAUUCUUCAACUAUUUAUUUAUAGGUAGCCCUUAGCACAAAACUGAAAUAUAUAUUGUUAAAAAAAAUUCAGAAAAUUACACUAGAUGAAUUUGCAUUAUUUCAUUUUACUCACUCCAACAUUUAAAUUUAAUUUUUUGAGUAAUUAUUCUUCAAAAAAAGAGAGAACAAACUAUUUUUUUUUUUUUAUGGAAGCAACAACCCUAUCCAGAAGAUCGAAACGAAACUAUAUUGUGUGAAAAUAAAUUGAAUUUUAAAGACUCUAAUAAAGAAAAGAAAAGAAAGUUAUUUAUCAUUUUGUAUCCACAAGUCCACCAUUUGGUCACGUUUUAGUUAUUUAUCUUUCUGGUAAAGGAUAUAUAUCCUUCCAUUAAAGGGUCUGUAUUUUGUCCUUUAUAGUGAAGAACACAUCGAACUUGGAAAACCAAAUUAAUUUUAUUCAUAUGUUCAACUAUGGCGUACGUAGUUAAUGUUAAGGUGCGUGUGAGAGUGGGAGCAAAUGCAUGUGAGUUUUGUACCAAAGAAGAAAGGUUACAUUGAAAUGAUUGAUGGUCUUUUGGAUGAGAUGAUGAUGAAAUUUACACACAUUUGGUUUCAAACCUCAAAAACUUAGGUCAAAUUCAAUUUAGGUUUAAUUUUUUUUAAAAAAGUUAUAUGAUCAAAAUAAUCUUUAGUUAUAUCUCAAUGAAAGUUAUUAACUGCAGAAAUAGCUAAAGCAUGAAAGCAACAAGUAACGCAUAAGAGUUUGAUAACUCAAUUCGAUAAAUACGGAUUACAGAUUACAUGUAGGGAGUUUUUUUUUUGCUCAGAUAAGAAAUAUUAUUAAGAUUGAUAUGUGUCUAAUUUAAUACUAAAGCUACAAUAAUAAUAUCUCUACAACUUAAAUGUAUAAACUCAAACUCUCCUGACGGUAAACGUGAAUCUUCUAAAAAACAAGUUUAGGUUCUCCCUGAAUUAAUGGAUUGACUUCUCAAUCAUGUGGUCUUCAUUCAUAUUUCUUAUCACUCAUAAUUUAUUGCAUUGGUGUUAAUAUAUCAAAAGGCAACAAUCAUACUACCUUCAACAGACUAACUUGAUGAAGCAAAAAUUUGUCUUAAUGAAGUUCGGGUUAGUCGUCUUUUUCCACACGCAACAAUCGCAAUGAAAACCACACACACCUAUAUAUUUAGUAAACAACACUAAAAUUUAAAAAAAAAAACAAAAAAAAUUCAUUAACUUUUUUUUUUAUCUUCAAUCUUCAAAGUUUCAAAUCUUAAAAUCAUCAAAUUAAAUAAAAUAGAAUUGAGUCGCAAUGUGAGAAGUAUCAACAAGUUUUAUAUAAUUUAUAUAUUAAAUUUGUAUCAUAUUAAUUAUUAAAGGUUUGCAUUCUAAUUAAAUCUCAAUCUAUAAUGGUAAAUUAAAUACGAAGACAAUUCAAAUAAUUUGGACUACUCAAUCCAUUUAUAAGAGUUGAAUUGAGUUAGUUUAAAAUUUGGGUUUGGUCGGAUAAAUUUUUUUUAGUUGGGUUGGAUCUCAGGUUGAGUGUUGAAAAAUUCGGUUCAACACAAUCUAACUCGAAUUAAUAUAUAUAUAUAUAUGAAUGAUGCAUUUAACAAAAUAAAUUAAAUUUUUUUAGAUAAAUUAAAAAUAUAUUUAUAUAUUAAAAUUUUAGAUUCUAUACAUGAUACUAGUCAUAAUUUGCUAUAGGUUAUAAAUGUUUAGUCAAAUUUGCCAUUUUUUAAAAAAAUUUCUAUAUAUAUUAAUUUUUAUUUUUCUAUAUUUAUGUUUAUAUUAUAUUUUAUUAUUAAUUUAAGUAAAUAGUAAAUUUAAGCCAAGCCUCAUAUCUCUCUAGCCCACUCUCUUUUUCUUGGCUCGACUUCUCAUCUCAUACCUCUCAGUCUUUUAAGAGUUUAUAAAACAAUACGACUCCACAACCCAACUCAAUCUAACCUAUAUUUUAUGGGUUGAGUUAGGAAUAUUAUUUAAGUUAUUUGGGUUGUCAAUCCAACCAACCCAAAAGUAUGAAUUGGAUUGGGAAUGUCCCCAAAGAACCUAACUCAAUCCUACUCGUUUACACCUUUGUUAAAUACAAGAUGACUAAUUUAAUUUGACAUCAAUUAUUGACCUAUCUAAUGUCACCCUGUUGAAAGGGAACUUGAAAAGUUUUUUUUGAAUAAAUUAAAUUACAUUACCAACUUAAUUAAUAAUUCAUAAAUUGAAUGUAUUGAAUUUUAAAGUAUUAAUUUAUUUCAUAUGAAAAUGAGAAUAAAGGUGUAAUGAAUUAAAAUGGAAAAUGACAAAGUUGUCAGUUAAUUAAUUAUAUAGAUAUUGAUGAGAACGGGGAAAACGUGAGAAAAAUUGAUAGACCAAACCCUACAAAAAAUGGACGGCCAAAACUUAAUCAAUAAUUCUAUGUAUUUAGUUCUUAUCAUCACUUUCCAUUUCCCAUUCAUUUUCUCCAUAAUUCUUCCAUUUUCUUCGCCUUCAUUCCAUUUUUCAUUAAAUCAUCAUUUUUCUUGUCUAGUACAACAAUAAAUUUAUAAAUUUUGAAGAAUUCUUCACCUUUUCCACAUUUUAUUCACACAUAUCAAUUAAAUAGAAAAUUUACAUUUUAGAUUAUGUAAAAUAAAAUUAAUUUUAUAUCUAAGAGAUGAUUGAAUAUAUCAACUAGGAAUUGUUAGAAAAAAAUACAUUUUGAAUACGUUAUUAAAACUUAUUAGAUACAAAUUAAAAGGGUAAUUGACUUAUUAUAUUCUGAAAAAAAUGCAUAAACAAAAUAUGCAUAAAGUGAUCUCUUUAUCUUUAUUCUCCACCUUCCAUACUGAUCUCUUCCACAUGUUUAUUCUGUGUUUUUAAUUUCCUCUGUCACUCUCAAUAUUUUUGGUAUUUAGAUUGACUUUUCAAAACCGUAGAAUUUUAAGAUUGAGAAUUCUUUAUAAAAUUUCUAAUGAAUGGUUGUUGAGGAAGAAGGGUGUACAUUUAUACGAAUUGACAGGAUAAGUUAGUUGCUGUAGUUACUCACAAGAGUUGGUUUCUUUGCUAUCUCUUUGCCUGAUAGCUCAAGGUUGUUCUUUGCUAUCUCUUUGCCUGAUAGCUCAAGGUUGUUCACAUUGGAUUGGUGCCUUCACGAUUCUCAAUUGCACUGUCUAGAUUGAGAGCUGAAAAUCAAAUAAUUCCUUAUUGGCCUCUUUGUCUUGAGUUGAUCUGCCAUGCAUGUCAUUGUUAACACUUCAAAGUCUCCUCAGUUUUAGAGAGUCUAGAGCCACAAGGUUAAGCUCCUUGUGCGUUGAAUGAAAUAUAUAGUUGUACCUGUGAAAACACAUACUUACUUAUGGAAACAAUGAAUAUGAAAACACAUAAACCAUAGAUAAUACAUCAAAUUUUGUAACUCAAUUCCAUGACACAGAAUCUACACCUAAAAAUCUUUAGUCCAAUUGAAAUGAUUAUUUUAUAAAGAUUGAAAAGGAUCACAAGUACAUAACUUAUCAAGAAUCAAAUAUCUUAAUCAUAUGACUUUUCCAAAUAAACGUUUAGGCUUUCUUAAACUACUUAAUAUGUGAACAAAUAUAAUUCGUUUAGAUCGUAUGUUUCAUGCUUCACCUUUACGUCUCAAUGUGCAGGCUCCCCCUUGUGAGAGACUUCUCAUAAUAAUCUUUAAUGUUAGGCUCCUCUAACUUGCACGGAUCUUCUCAACCAAUUGACUCACAAUGCCAAAGUAUUCAACAUCACACCAUGAGUACUUUGUAAAAGGCUUUCUCAACACAUAAAUAUCUUGAUGCACGUUUGCUCACACUUCUGUCUUCAAACCACAACAAUAUCACACGGCCACAAGCUUAUAUUUUUUAGGUCACACGUCGUAACAAAAACAAAAGUUAAUUCCCUCAAUUUAUUAUUAAAUAUCAAUCAUAUAUUUAUUAAUAAAUAUUAACCAACUUUAAGAGAAAACAACCACAACCACAACCACAACCACAACCGAUAUAAUAUCUUUAUUAACGAGAAUAACUUUAUUAAUAAAUAUUAUCCAUAUUAAUUCCAUACCAACAAAACCUUAAGUAGCAGUACCAAAGUAAGACAAUCAAAAACAAAAACAAGAAAUUACAGCAUAAAUUAAAAUCAGUGUUACAAUAAUAAUCUUCUGAAUGAGGUUACCAAAACCCACAAUGAAUAGUGACUAAAACGAUUAAAAUCAGUGAUAAAAAAAUUGGGGAUCAAUGAUCCAGAUGAAGAAGUGAUGAAUAAUGAUGAUUUGAUUAAUAUAGAGACUAAAAUUGAACGUACGAGAAAAUAAAUGAUAGUUUACUAAACUCAAAUAAUUGGUAAGAACCAUCAAUCAUGACGUUUAUUUUCUUUUUUUAAAAAAAUUAAAUAUUGUUGGAACAGAUUAAAUGUGAAGCAAAUUUUGGAUAAGCAAGUGGGGAUCGGAUCGAAGACAUUAUUUUUGGCUAUGGCGAUAAAAUUAAAUAUUAGGAGCACGUGAAACAUAAUAAUUAAAAUAAAUAAUAUAGUUGAGAGUUUCUUUUGGUUAUAAAAGACCUCUUUGGGGACACAUAAUCCCAAACAACUCAAUUUGCAAAAGCAACUUACUAUUAUCUUUCUCUCUUCUUCCUCCUAGACCCAUCCUUUCUGUUUACAAAUAAACAUUAUGGAAGACAAGUUUGCUAAAUUUGAGAAGGGAAAGAAGAUAACAAUUUUAAGUAUAGAUGGUGGUGGCAUUAGAGGCAUCAUUCCCGGAACUAUUCUAGCUUUUCUCGAGUCUAAACUUCAGGUAAUAAUGAUAUAUAUAUAUAUACUUAUAUAGUACUUUAUUUUUCUUUCAAAACUAAAGGUUGACUUAAAUUAGUGAAAGUAUUACUCGUCUAUACUCAAACUCUUUACGAAUUUGUAAGAAAUUUUUUGGUUUUUAUUGAUUGGACGAACGAUUUGGUUAGGAAUUGGAUGGACCAGAUGCAAGAGUAGCAGAUUACUUUGAUGUAAUUGCUGGUACAAGCACAGGUGGUUUGGUUACUUCCAUGCUUACAGCUCCUAACGAGAAUAAUCGACCUUUGUACGCUGCAAAAGAUUUAACCCGCUUCUACAUCGAACAUGGACCAAAAAUCUUCCCUCAACGAAAGUCAGUAGUUUUCUCCUCUUUUCAAUUGUCAAAAGCUUUCCUCUGUAAGAAAUAAAUUAUUAUAGCCUCCUAAAAUAUUAUAUUUAAGUGAUUAUAAUUUGUAUGCAUAGGGUAAACUAUUUUAGUUUAAGAAUGAGAAGAAAAUAGUAAAAAUAAAAUAGAAAAUAUAAUAAAUUGCAAGUUUUGAAAUAAUGUUCACCAUACAGAUGUGCGGUUAUUCUGGUCUUACCGUUUUCGUUUGCUGAUAUUGAUGUUUUGUGGUGUGAAAACAGUCAUUUCUUAAGUUCUGCGGUGAAUAUGUUUGGAAAAGUUAUGGGCCCAAAGUACGAUGGCAAAUACUUGAGAUCAUUGAUAAACAGAUUGCUUCGAGAUAUAACACUUAAGGAAACACUAACGCAAGUCAUUAUUCCUGCUUUCGACAUUAAGCUUCUUCAACCUGUGAUUUUCAGCACACUCGAUGUAUGAAAAUUUAAUUAAAAACGAUUUGAUAAACAGUUUAUAUUCCUUUAAUUUUUUUUCAAUAAUUAAUAAAUCGGAGGAAUUAAUUAUUCAGGCAAAAUGGGAUGCGUUAAAGAAUCC